GCCUACGGGGCGCAGCAGUAGGGAAUCUUCCAUAAUGGGCGAAAGCCUGAUGGAGCAACGCCGCGUGGGUGAAGAAGGUCUUCGGAUCGUAAAACCCUGUUGUUAGAGAAGAAAGUGCGUGAGAGUAACUGUUCACGUUUCGACGGUAUCUAACCAGAAAGCCACGGCUAACUACGUGCCAGCAGCCGCGGUAAUACGUAGGUGGCAAGCGUUAUCCGGAUUUAUUGGGCGUAAAGGGAACGCAGGCGGUCUUUUAAGUCUGAUGUGAAAGCCUUCGGCUUAACCGGAGUGGUGCAUUGGAAACU
rnacentral:rRNA from 1 species